GACAGAGGUGCCGAGCGUUAGGCGGAAUCACUGGGCUUAAAGCGUGUGUAGGCGGGCCGUUAAGUGCCCCGUGAAAGCCCCCGGCUCAACCGGGGAAUGGCUCCCGAUACUGGUUGGCUCGAGGACGGUAGGGGUGAGUGGAACUCCAGGUGGAGCGGUGAAAUGCGUAGAUAUCUGGAGGAACACCGGUGGCGAAAGCGGCUCACUGGACCGUCUCUGACGCUGAGGUGCGAAAGCCAGGGUAGCGAACGGG
rnacentral:rRNA from 1 species